GACCACAUUGAAUGCACACACCACACUGGAGGACCAAAAGGGAAAUUAUUCCCGCCUUCCCAAAACGCUGCGCAGCGAUGGGCCAAAAUGGAACAAAAAUAAAAUAUGCGGGAAAAUUUAAAAGAAAUCAGAAAUUCAAUUUAAACGCACUGCUAGAAUAGGGGGACCGAAUGCGAAAAUAGACCAUUUAAGGUCUGACGCGCGGACCCCCCUUCCCCAAACGGCACCAUUUCGUCUUUGCUUUUAAGUUUUAAAAGAAACAAAAUUAAAGCUAAAAGAAAAUAAACCCUUUGAGCACUGCCGCUCCCCUUUGCUCCGAUUUCGAUGGAGAAGAUGCCGGCCCGACGACUCCGACGACCAGGUAAUGCUGGCGUACGGAGCGGCGCACGCUGGGGAAGGUCGUGGUGCGAGAUUCGCGGCGGCGUGCGAGGGUGAGUUGCGGCGGUGCUGAAGCAAAUAGUUUCCUAGGGUUUCUGUUAUUUUGUUUUUGUGUGGGCUAGGUUUAGUAGGUUGGGUCUAGUAUUUGGGCCUAUUUAUUUGCUUGGGCCCGGGCAUUAUUGGGCUUGUACACAAGGGAUCGACAGUUUCUCGUUUGAACUCCCUAGAGAAUUGAUCUAAGCAUUGACAAGCACACCAACUUCAAUUACUGGGAGUGCCACAGGUACUUUAGUUUGGAGCCCAUCCCAUACAAGCCUAUUUUCACUUCAAACGACAUACGACAUUGUAGUCGAGAGAAAGAAAAAUAUGGCUGUAAGAGGGAACAUCCCAACUUGGGACAACAUAUGGAAAGCUAAGCUCCUACCCAAGAUUAAAUUCUUUUUUAUGGAACUGUAGCCUCAAAGCACUCCCCAUAAGGAAAUUUUUGAAUACGAGAGGCAUUAACGUCA